GAUGAACGCUGGCGGCGUGCCUAAUACAUGCAAGUCGAGCGAACGGACGAGAAGCUUGCUUCUCUGAUGUUAGCGGCGGACGGGUGAGUAACACGUGGAUCACCUACCUAUAAGUCUGGGAUAACUUCGGGAAACCGUAGCUAAUACCGGAUCAUAUUUUGAACCGCAUGGUUCAAAAGUGAAUGACGGUCUUGCUGUCACUUAUAGAUGGAUCCGCGCUGCAUUAGCUAGUUGGUAAGGUAACGGCUUACCAAGGCAACGAUGCAUAGCCGACCUGAGAGGGUGAUCGGCCACACUGGAACUGAGACACGGUCCAGACUCCUACGGGAGGCAGCAGUAGGGAAUCUUCCGCAAUGGGCGAAAGCCUGACGGAGCAACGCCGCGUGAGUGAUGAAGGUCUUCGGAUCGUAAAACUCUGUUAUUAGUGAAGAACAUAUGUGUAAGUAACUGUGCACAUCUUGACGGUACCUAAUCAGAAAGCCACGGCUAACUACGUG
rnacentral:rRNA from 1 species